CCUACGGGGUGCUGCAGUGAGGAAUAUUGGUCAGUGGGCGAGAGCCUGAACCAGCCAAGUCGCGUGAGGGAGUACUGCCCUAUGGGUUGUAAACCUCGUUUGUCGGGGAGCAAAAGCCGGACGUGUCCUGCUGUGAGAGUACCCGAAGAAAAAGCAUCGGCUAACUCCGUGCCAGCAGCCGCGGUAAUACGGAGGAUGCGGUCGUUAUCCGGAUUUAUUGGGUUUAAAGGGGGCGCAGGCGGAUUUUUAAGUCAGCGGUAAAAUCGUGGGGCUCAACCCCAUCCAGCCGUUGAAACUGGGGAUCUAGAGUGUGCGAGAGGUAUGCGGAAUGCGUGGUGUAGCGGUGAAAUGCAUAGAUAUCACGCAGAACCCCGAUUGCGAAGGCAGCAUACCGGUGCACAACUGACGCUCAGGCACGAAAGCGUGGGUAUCGAACAGGAUUAGAUACCCCUGUAGUC
rnacentral:rRNA from 1 species